rnacentral:rRNA from 1 species
UCGUGCUCCCAAAAAAACCAAUUGGUGAGCCAUUAAAGAGUAUCGAAAACUUUGGAGUUUCCAAGCAAGAUUGAAUCCAAUUAACCCAUUGCUGUGGGAAGUUCAUAUCGAGGAGCAUCUUAUAUAGAAACUUCCUAUUAACUGAAUCGAAGGCUUUCCGUAAAUCAGCUUUAAAACAUAUUUUUGUCCCUCUUGCUUUUGAAUGCAAAUCUUUGACCAAGUCAUUAGCAAGCAAAAUGUUAUGAUGUAUACUUCUCCCUUUGAUGAAAGCAGCUUGAUUUGGGCUAAUGAUCUUGUGUAUUACCUUUUGCAUUCUAUUCGCCAAUACUUUGGAGAUGAUCUUGUAAAUAAAGUUGCAUAAUGAUAUGGGUCGAUAGUUCUCUAGUGAAUCAGCCCCUGCAUUCUUCGGAAUUAAGGAAAUAAAAGUGCAAUUCAUCUCUCUAAGAAUAUGACCCAAGAGAAAAAAAUGUUGGCAAGCCUUGAUCACAUCAUUUCCAAUAAUAGACCAAGUAGUUUGGUAAAAUUCAGCUGGAAAUCCAUCCGGACCUGGGCUUUUGUGCUUUGGUGACUUAAAGACAACACAUACAAUUUUCAUCAUCUAUAAUUGGGGCAUUGAGAAUUGAAAUAGCUUCCGAAUCAAGGUUUCUAGUCGACUCCACAUGAAUGUUAUUAGGUUUCCGGCUUGAUUGAGUAAGGAAUAAAAAAAUUGCUCGUGUGUGCUUUAACCUCAUCUAAAUUCUCAAUAAGAUUAUCAUCUUUGUCUCUGCAUUUGUCUGAUACGGUUAAUGACCCUUCGAGUAGCAAUUGAAGCAUAGAAAAAAUUUAGUAUUGGAAUCCCCUAGUGUAAGCCAAUCUUUGUCGAGACUUCUGCUUUGUAAAACUUUCCUCCUGUUUUAAGGCUUGCAUGAAGUUAUUUCUGGCUUCUGUCUCUUGGUAGAUAAUAUUUUCAUCAUUUGGCUGAAGUUGCAGCUCAUGUUGCAAUGACAUUAGUUCAUUUCUACAAAAUUGAACUCUGGUGUUAAUAUUGCCAAAGGUAUUUGUAUUCCACUCCUUUAGUGCUGCUUUACAGGCUUUGAGCUUUUGACAUAAGAUGUAAGGGGGGGAUCCAUGCACAUUAACAUUUCAAGCAGAUCUGAUAACAUCAAGAAAUUGAAGAUGAGUACUCCACAUGUUAAAGAAUCUAAACGGUUUCUUGCCUGGUGUCCGGUGUCCGGUGCGCCCCCGGCGGCCCUUGAAAAUCCGGAGGACCGAGUGCCGCCCGCGCCCGGUCGUACUCAUAACCGCAUCAGGUCUCCAAGGUGAACAGCCUCUGGCCCAUGGAACAAUGUAGGCAAGGGAAGUCGGCAAAACGGAUCGUAACGGGGAAAAGGAUUGGCUCGAGGGCUGGGGCACGGGUCCCGACCCCGAAUCCGUCGGUUUUGUCGGACUCGCUCGACUGCUCAGCUGGCGAAGCGAGUCGCCAGCGUCUGGCGGCGGGGACGGGCGGGAAUGGCCCCCUCGGGGGGCCUUCCCGGCGUCGAACAAGCCGACUUAGAACCGGAAUGCCGGACAAGGGGAAUCUGAUUGUUUAAUUAAAAUAAAGCAUUGCGAUGGUCCCCGGAUGCUCACGCAAUGUGAUUUCUGCCUAGUGCUAUGAAUGUCAAAGUGAAGAAUUUCAACCAAGCGGAUGGUAAACCGGGAGUAACUAUGACUCUCUUAAGGUAGCCAAAUGCCUCGUCAUCUAAUUAGUGGCGUGCAUGAAUGGAUUAACGAGAUUCCCAUCGUCCCCGUCUACUAUCCAAUAAAACCACAUGCCCAAGGAACGGGCUUGGCAGAAUCGUGAGGGGAAAGAAGACCUGUUGAGCUUGACUCUAGUCCGACUUUAUGAAAUGACUUGAGAGGUGUAGGAUAAGUGGGGAGGCGGUUCGCCCGGUGGAUGUGAAAUACCACUACUUUUAACGUUAUUUUACUUAUUCCGUGAGAGUCGGGGCGGGGCCGGCCCCUCCUUUUGGACCCAAAGGCCCUUGAGCGGGCCAAUCCGGCCGGAAGGCAUUGUCGGUGGGGAGUUUGGUUGGGGCGGCACAUCUGUUAAAAGAUAACGCAGGUGUCCUAAGAUGAGCUCAAGCGAGAACAGAAAUCUCGUGUGGAACAAAAGGGUAAAAGCUUCGUUUGAUUCUGAUUUCCGGUACGAAUAUGAACCCGUGAAAGCGUGGCCUAUCGAUCCUUUAGACCUUCGAAUUUGAAGCUAGAGGUGUCGGAAAAGUUACCACAGGGAUAACUGGCUUGUGGCAGCCAAGCGUUCAUAGCGACGUUGCUUUUUUGAUCCGCCGAUGUCAGCUCUUCCUAUCAUUGUGAAGCAGAAUUCACCAAGUGUUGGAUUGUUCACCCACCAAUAGGGAACGUGAGCUGGGUUUAGACCGUCGUGAGACAGGUUAGUUUUACCCUACCGAUGAUCGUGUCGGCGAUAGUAAUUCAACCUAGUGCGAGAGGAACCGUUGAUUCACACAAUUGGUCAUCGGCGGCUUGGUUGAAAAGCCCGAUGUGUGGCUACCGUGUGUCGGAUUAUGACUGAACGCCUCUAAGUCAGAAUCAUAGCUAGCAACCGGCGCUCUCGCCGUCGUUCACCUCCCGACCCAUAGUAGGGGCCUUUGGCCCCUAUGGGCUCGAUGUCGCCCGGUGUAGCCCUCGUGGUGGUAUAGCCGCGGGCGACCCAUCGGGAAGUGAAACUCCG